UACGGGGGGGGUAAGCGUUGUUCGGAAUUACUGGGCGUAAAGGGCUCGUAGGCGGCCAACUAAGUCAGACGUGAAAUCCCUCAGCUUAACUGGGGAACUGCGUCUGAUACUGGAUGGCUUGGAUUCGGGAGAGGAAUGCGGAAUUCCAGGUGUAGCGGUGAAAUGCGUAGAUAUCUGGAGGACACCGGUGGCGAAGGCGGCAUUCUGGACCGACAUUGACGCUGAGGAGCGAAAGCCAGGGA
rnacentral:rRNA from 1 species